CCGGCAGUGACACCUACCGAGAAGAUGUUCCCUAAUAGCUCCUCAGACAAGUCCGGCACUAUGUGACCUGCAGGAUCGGUGACAUCGCCGUGGCCCACUGCAGCACACCGAGGCCUAGGGUGGCCUCCGUGGCUUCCACUUGCUUCCCAGGGAUCUCCUGGCCUUGGAGGGCAGAUCCUAGAAGGUCAGCCUGGGAGGGUGUAUGUCUGUGGAGAGCAGAGGCCCAGGCGUUAGCUGCAACUCCUACUCAGCCAUGUGAAUGCCACAGACCUCUUGUGAGCAGACAGACAUGCCAAGGAAUGCUGGAGCAAGAUCAGUCCCAAGGACGGUGUUUCCUGAGAUUGAGGCAGAUGCUUACCAGCGUCUCAUAUUUUCACUGGAAAACUAUUCUCUCGAUAUUCUCUACAUACGUAUAUAUGUGUGUGUAUACCAAUACAUGCAUAUAUACGCAUAUGUGUACGUAUGUGUCUGUAGGUGUGUGUAUAUAUAUAUUUAUGCAUCUAUAUACAUAUACUAGAGAGCUGGGCAUACACACAUGCUAACUGUAUAUAGACGCUCCUUUUUUUCUUUUUAUGAAACUUAGAUUUACCUCAGACCCAUGCCACCAAACAUUUCCCGCUGUUAUUCGGUGGGAUUUGCAGGGACUUCUCUGGGAGAACUUAGAGGCCCCCACAGUAACUGCGAACGAAGCAAUAUACCACUAACCUGCAGAGACACAAAACCAGAAACAGUCUCCAGCUGUCUCCAGAAGUCGUGGCCUUCCAGAACAGUCUGCCCCUCAAGGAAGGGUGGGGCAGGCAGUACCCCUAAGCAGGCUGCUCCUAAAGGUGGGGAACCCUCCAUAGAAAACCCUUCACCCAUGCCCCCAGAGACCCUGCCCUGUCACCCGGAGGCCAAGGGUCAACUGUACCCCAAGAGCCACAGGGGAAGUUGGUGUGAAGACCUUUGAGCUUGUAUGCUGAAUCAGGAUGGUGAGACGCUGUGCACCAUCCUAACACAGCAUCGGUCUGUGGUUGAGGGAACAAUAACAGCAAAAAACAAACAAACAAAACCCAAAACCGUAGUGUGAAUUAGUUCAAACCCUAGAAGUGCUGUAGGGAUUAAGCUGUGGUGACAAUACAAGUUUUACUUCUCUCAUCUUC
rnacentral:lncRNA from 1 species